UCCAGGUUCUUCAGGGGAAUCAACCUUUGC
rnacentral:piRNA from 1 species